rnacentral:misc_RNA from 1 species
GAAAUGCGAUAAGUAAUGUGAAUUGCAGAAUUCAGUGAAUCAUCGAAUCUUUGAACGCACAUUGCGCCCGCCAGUAUUCUGGCGGGCAUGCCUGUCCGAGCGUCAUUUCUACCAUCAAGCCCCCGGGCUUGUGUUGGGGACCUGCGGCUGCCCGCAGGCCCUGAAAACCAGUGGCGGGCUCGCUGUCACACCGAGCGUAGUAGCAAUCACCUCGCUCAGGGCGUGCUGCGGGUUCCGGCCGUUAAACAGCCUUACAAAACCCAAGGUUGACCUCGGAUCAGGUAGGAAGACCCGCUGAACUUAAGC